GAUGAACGCUGGCGGCGUGCUUAACACAUGCAAGUCGAACGGAAAGGCUCCUGCUUGGUGGGGUACUCGAGUGGCGAACGGGUGAGUAACACGUGGGUGAUCUGCCCUUCACUUCGGGAUAAGCCUGGGAAACUGGGGCUAAUACCGGAUAGGAGGUUGGGUUGCAUGCCGUUGUGGGAAGAUUUUCCGGUGUGGGGUGGGCUCGCGGCUUAUCAGCUUGUUGGUGGGGUAUUGGCUUACCAAGGCGUCGACGGGUAGCCGGCCUGAGAGGGUGUACGGCCACAUUGGGACUGAGAUACGGCCCAGACUCCUACGGGAGGCAGCAGUGGGGAAUAUUGCACAAUGGGCGGAAGCCUGAUGCAGCGACGCCGCGUGGGGGAUGACGGCCUUCGGGUUGUAAACUGCUUUCGCUAGGGACGAAGCGCAAGUGACGGUACCUGGAGAAGAAGCACCGGCUAACUACGUG
rnacentral:rRNA from 1 species